UUAACUUGAUUCGUAUUGAAACCCAUAUUAUGAUGGACCGGAGAGAACAUUCGGCCUUUGUCUGGAAGGUGCACUGUACAUGACGGCGUAACCCUCCAUGUGCAGCAGGGAGAGGAUGUCAGGUCAAACCCAGGCUGCUUCCCCCACGCCUCUCCCCACUAGUGUUCAGGAUGCAUCUCCUUGUACGCAUGGCCACCCUGGAGGAGAGCACGGAAAGGACAGUCAUGGCCUUGGGGUUACUACUGGACCCCCCCUGGAAGAAGUGAUCUGCAGCAUCUGCCUGGAGACAGGAGGCACUGGAAGCAUUUCCUGUGGCCACAGCUUCUGCCAGGCCUGCUCUCAGCUGAGUGACUCUCUGACCCGCCGAGGUCACUGUGUGCUGUCCACGCUGCCAGGAGCCACCACAAGAGGGAACAGCAGGUCCAGUUUUAUUCUGGUCAAUUUGUCCUCUGGGAGCAGACUUGCCCAGGGGUCAUUUUCCUGCUUCUACAUUUAAUCUGGAUCCCUGCAGCCUGGUGCAAGCGGUGGGGUACGACCAGCUUUGCUGAGGCCCGCUUCAGUAGCAAGCCUUGACAGAAGCCACGGGGAGAGAGGCCCAUGGCAUUCUAUGCCCAAACUCAGCAUGCGGACUGUGGGCCUCCCU